UACGUAGGUGACAAGCGUUGUCCGGAUUUACUGGGCGUAAAGAGCGCGCAGGCGGUCGUUCAAGUCGAGUGUGAAAGCCCCCGGCUCAACUGGGGAAGGUCACUCGAUACUGAUCGACUCGAAGGCAGGAGAGGGAAGUGGAAUUCCCGGUGUAGUGGUGAAAUGCGUAGAUAUCGGGAGGAACACCAGUGGCGAAGGCGACUUCCUGGCCUGUUAUUGACGCUGAGGCGCGAAAGCUAGGGGAGCAAACGGG
rnacentral:rRNA from 1 species